rnacentral:rRNA from 1 species
UACGUAGGGUGCGAGCGUUAAUCGGAAUUACUGGGCGUAAAGCGUGCGCAGGCGGUUCGUUAAGUCAGAUGUGAAAGCCCCGGGCUCAACCUGGGAACUGCAUUUGAAACUAACGGGCUCGAGUGUGGCAGAGGGGGGUGGAAUUCCACGUGUAGCAGUGAAAUGCGUAGAGAUGUGGAGGAACACCGAUGGCGAAGGCAGCCCCCUGGGCUAACACUGACGCUCAGGCACGAAAGCGUGGGGAGCAAACAGA